rnacentral:rRNA from 1 species
GCAAGUCGAGCGGAUGAAGGGAGCUUGCUCCUGGAUUCAGCGGCGGACGGGUGAGUAAUGCCUAGGAAUCUGCCUGGUAGUGGGGGAUAACGUCCGGAAACGGGCGCUAAUACCGCAUACGUCCUGAGGGAGAAAGUGGGGGAUCUUCGGACCUCACGCUAUCAGAUGAGCCUAGGUCGGAUUAGCUAGUUGGUGGGGUAAAGGCCUACCAAGGCGACGAUCCGUAACUGGUCUGAGAGGAUGAUCAGUCACACUGGAACUGAGACACGGUCCAGACUCCUACGGGAGGCAGCAGUGGGGAAUAUUGGACAAUGGGCGAAAGCCUGAUCCAGCCAUGCCGCGUGUGUGAAGAAGGUCUUCGGAUUGUAAAGCACUUUAAGUUGGGAGGAAGGGCAGUAAGUUAAUACCUUGCUGUUUUGACGUUACCAACAGAAUAAGCACCGGCUAACUUCGUGCCAGCAGCCGCGGUAAUACGAAGGGUGCAAGCGUUAAUCGGAAUUACUGGGCGUAAAGC